rnacentral:tRNA from 1 species
UAGCUCAGUUGAUAGAGCAUGGUGUUUGCAACGCCAGGGUUGUGGGUUCCAUUCCCAC